UUCUGGGAUUCCUCGGGCUCCUGCGACGGAGACGUGGGCGGCCACACGCGCGCAGGUGUGCCGGGACAUCUUUGCCCUUGUCCUCCCCGUGCCCUACAAGACCCCACAGGUGGGGCGCCCGACUCCCACCUCUCUCCUGGCUCCUCUGGACCAGCCACGUUGGGCCUUCUGUUCCUGGAACACACCCAGUUGCUCUCACCUCAGGGCCGUUGCACAAGCGGUUCCACCUGGACCAUCUCCCACGCACCUGUAACUAACUCCCACCCUCGUCGUCUACCGUUUCUGCUCAGAUGGCACCUCCUCUGAGGAGCUUCCUGCACAGGAGGAUACACCAGUCAGCGAUGGGAAGCAACUGCCACACACAUGGCUGAACCUUCCAGACACAAUGCGGGGAGGGGAAAGAAGGCAGACACAAAGCACAUCUUCUGCAGGAUGCCGUUUAUACCAAACUCACAAACUGCCCACCUGGUCUGUGUUGGAAGCCAAGGGGGAGUGCUCUUCCUUGAUAAGGAUGCCAGUCCACAAGUGUGCUCACUUUCUGAAAAUUAACCUAGCCCCAGGCACGUAAGAUUUGAGCACGGCCCUUUUCUGUGGGCCUGCUGUACCUCAAUAGUAAGUUGAAAGCAAAGAAUAGAUUGAGUGGGAUCACGUGAUGGAUGGCACUCCUCAAUUAAUUCCGCAUCAGCUGCCCCUGCAGCACAAGGCAUUUGGCUCACGGCUGAGCGGCUGUCCUUUAAUGAUCCACUAAAUACACCUCCCUGAGGGUCGCUCAGCUAAUGUCAGGUCUUCCCUGUGCCACUCGAGGCUGCCUGGAGGUCCCGGCACAGACACCAGACUCUCAGCGUUGCUCACCUGGCGAGGGGCGGGGCUGGCGGCCAGCAGAACCCCUUCCUGGGCGCUGGGUCGUGGCCGCGGCACUUCCUUCCCCUCCUCUUAGCGGUCUUUCCACUAUUGCAUAACUGCCCGGCCAGGCAGCCCUUCCUACAGACACCAGCCACGACCCGGCGGCCCAAGCGGGCAGCCUCUCCAUGUGAACUUCCCGCCCGAGGCCUCCCGCUUCCUCGCCUUGCUCCGCCCCGCGCCCCGCCCCUGGCAGGAGCGUCCAGUGCACGAAGCGAAAAGAAUUCGCGUUUACCUUGCAAGGGCCACCGGAAGCAGGCUCACGGCCCUCUGUCGGGAUGAGAUAGGAUUUACUUUAAUGCAUGGAUGAAACAGGGAUGAACAAAACAGAAAUGAGGCCAGAAAGAUGCUCAGACAGCAGAGCCACUUCAAAAGGGAACCAGAUGCCCGCCGUAUAAGUCAGCACCAUUGUCGAAACACGGAGCGCCAGACCUGGGCCAAGUCCUGUCCUGCAGGCUCGGAGUUUGUUUUUCAGUCCGGUUCUUACUGAUUAACAAAGACCUUGGUGGGCAAGUUUAUACCCCCAUCCCCAAGAAUCAUGCUACUUAUCAACCGUCUCACUCAUGACUACAUGGACCAUUCACUAAGGCAGGUAGCUGAAGGCCUGUCUUGUAGCCAGCUCCUGGGCUCUGAAUUAGCAAGCCAGGACAUUCCAGCCAAUUCUAAACAAGCCCAUGGUGCUGAAACCAGCGCUAAUUUGACCAUGGCAGGUAAGAAGGCCAUUUGGCAUGACAGUCACCUCGCCAGGAAACUGCUUUACUGAGAGCUACCCGACGGAGUGAGGCAUGUUAAAUCCUCCGGGGGAUGACAGUGGUUACUAAGAAUAACUUAUUCCACCUCGAGACAAGCAGCAACAGCACCCCCUGCCUGAGGUUCAGCAUUUCUGCAAGGAACCAAGAAGCUUGUUGUGUGACGAGAGAGAACGGGCAGGACAGCAGCCCUCAAACCUCACAAGUCACCGCCAGGAGCGCGCGGCAUGGACUCUGCGCCGUCGUCCGGGGUACAGAAACUGAUGAUACACUUGGCAGAUGUGAGAACCAUUUCAAAAAACACCUUAUAUAUAAAAACAAAAAUCAUGUGUAUGCAUAUACACAGAACUUUUAUACUAGAUACAUUUACUUCUACUAAAGAAAACAGAUUUCCUUAGUAAGUCUGUCAUCCCACAAAACUUUUGUUGAACAGGUUCUGUGUAAGAGCUUAACUCCUUUUAAAGACAGCCUUUGGCUAGAUUAUGAUUCUGUGUGGCUGGGAUAGGAAGUGUGAGUGGAGGCAGCAUGGUUCUUUCAAGAACACUCAAAUCAUGAGAUUCUACUGUAGCAGCUGUCUCCUAAUGUUGGUUGGUAGGUUAAUAACAAAUCAGUCUGGCUUUCCCUAGGAACAGACGUGUAAGGGUAAAGGAGAGGCAGAGGGCAAUGCUGAGAGAAGGGAGAAGACUGGGAGCCAGCGUGUGACUUUUACAUGCGAGGGGCCGACGUAUGCACUCUAUCUGGGGAGGGUUCUGACCUCCAAAAUCACAUGUAAGCUGCACGGCAGCUGGCACGUCACAGACAGAAGUCGGGGACUCCAGCCCCAGCUCAGACUAGCAGCACAGUGGCAUCAUAAACACCAGGAGCGACGGUGUCCUCAUGAGGAGCCUCUGGACAGGGCCGACCUGACCCUCAUCUCGCGUUCCGCCUGCCGCCGAGCCGCCCCAGGCUUCCCCAAACAUAAUCAUGAAAACACUUUAGAAAGAAAUGAGUUAGUGUGUGAAAGGCAUGGAUGGAUUUUAUUUAUUACCCUAUAUCUACAAUUUAAUUUGAGGUAAAAUAUAAGCAACACAUAAAAAUGCCUAUUUCUGCUACCAUGUAAUAUAAUUCUCCAUUGUGAAUAUUGUGAUAAAGCUAAUGAAAACUCUAUGCCAUCACAUACUCUAGCUUUUCAUAUAGCUGGUAUUUUACAACUCUUACUGUUUGUGAACUCUCAGCACAUGGAAGAUUCUCCUACAAAUGGCGCAGAGUAUCAGAGGGUGCAUAAUUAGCUUACCGGCCCCUCACUCCCCUCACCAGAGCCUCAGCAUCACAAGCAGGAUUGUAAAGUAACGAAGGCAAUGAAACCUCCUUGAGUCUGAUCCAAGCUGGAACAGCGUUCCAAAGAAUUCCACACCACCACGGGUCACACGACAGUGAGGCUUUAGUGUCGUUUAGCUUACCCACACACUCAUACCUGAUCUUAAACUUCUGGUACACCAUGCACUGUAUUCAGAUGAAACAUAAAUGUGGAUGGAAGAGGUUCGCUGUAUUCCAUCUGUAUGCCACACGCUGAGAUACGGACCUCUUACUGGCUGUUAGGUGAACCAGAUGGUUGUUUUUUAAUUAUGAUAAAAAAAAAUAUGAACCAUGAUAGAGAGCUUAGGAAAAGGUUUAGUCAAAUAUACAGAUACUAACUGUGUUCACUCAGUCAUCAAGGAGAGCCGUGAACAAAAGGAUCGUUUAAAUGAUUUUUCAAAUAGAAAAACUAAAGAACUGAACUACCACAAGUGGUUUCUUCACUGCAGAAGCUGAGAUGUUCCGGGAGGAGAUAUCUUCACUUGAUCGGAAAAUAGACACCACAGCUGAAGGCUCUGCUGAACACGUAAAAAAUCUGAUGAGAUUCAUCCCUGUCAUUUUCCCUGUCGUUUUUCCAGCAUUGCUGUAAAAUCCUUAUAAUACAUUCCAAAGUAAACCAGCCAUUCCAAAUCUACAGUCACUCUGCUCUUUAAUUCAAUUCACAGAACUGCUGAAAAAGUAGACAUUUCUAUCUAAAAGUAGAAAAAAAGGUUUGUAUAGAAGGUAUUUCUGUUAUACAAGUAUAUUACACAGCUUGGGGCAGUAACAGGUCCGAAAAGCUCUUCUCACCCACUGAUAUACUUUAAGCUAAAAUAGGAGAGAAAACAAACAAGCAAGAAAACAGGUUAAUCUGAUUAUAGGAAUUUAUCAUUCACAGAUACACAACUUAAUCCAUGAACUGACACUACAUGGCAAAUUCCAUGACAAAUAAAUAAAUAAUAAAAUUUAAAAAUCUCUGCACAAGCAAAACUUGUCAGGUAGAGAUGAGAGCCAACUACCACGGAGACGUCCCACAGCUGGGGCUUAGUCAGGUUCAAAAGGACACAAGAACCAAGUUUUGCUGACUCGGUCUAGAGCUGCCCCUCCUGGUAAUUACCUGGCCAAGUUAAAAAUCUGGAAUAAUUGGAUCAGGCUUGUAAUUUAUUAUGCAAGAUGCACAGUGGAUUGUGCAGCUCGGCCAGACUCUGCAAAUACUAUCAUCACAAUUAGGGAAAGAAGUCAGUCUGGUGAUACUGGCUCACAGUGAAUUCCAAUUGCAAGGAUACGAUUUAAAGUACAGAUUAGAAACAAAACAUUCUCCAUUUAAAUAAAGCAAAAGUGCUUUAACAUCCUUGACUGACAGACAUAUACUGAUCCAAGAAAAAUCUCUCUGCUUGAAUUGUCUAAUUCAAACCACACUGUAUGUUUAUACUUGGACCUCAAGGGCCCUGCAGGCGGGGCCAUCAUUUAUGUCUGAAGCAGGGAAAACACAUGAGCUUAAGAAUACGCGGGUGAGUUCAGACAGACACAGCAUGGCAUCCUGGACACAAAAGUUGAUUUACCCUAGGAGGGAGGAGGUCUACCACGUAGGGUCUGGUUCUUGCUUGAUUUGAGAGCUUCCAUCAGUCUCCUUUACUUCUAUCAAGAGAAACAAAAGGGAACUAUUAAUUGCAUUAUUAAUAUAAAUCAGCUCAAUUAUAAACCUACAUAUACAAAACUAGUCAUUAAAAUGAUUAAAUAGGAGUUGCAAGAUACUAAAAAUGCUAACAUUUUCAGAGAUGUUUCUCUAUUAAUAAGUUACAAAUGUUAUAUUUUAAAAAUAGCUAACAUCUUAUUACGUACGUAAAGGACCCACACUAGCUCCAUCUAGGUUAUAUAAUAGUAGUCAUUUAACUAUUUCAGAAUUUAUGAAGAAUCAUUUGGGGGAAAUGGAGGAAAAGAAUCCAUCUCUAAACACAAUACUUCUGUCAUAAAUUGCAAAUCCAAUUCACCCAGAAACAAAGAGAACCACCACACAGUUCCUAGUCAAACAGCUUUAAAAACACAAUUAAUCUUUUGUCUUAAGGAACUUCAGUUUUUGAGACCCAGACUGCCCUUUUUACCUUCUGUUGCAGGAACCUCCAACUGGCUUGGCUCAGUUGAUUCUGAAGAGAAACACAAGAAGAUUUUAAUUUAACACUGUUCAAAAGCUGCUUCCAAUUAUUCGAAGGGCCUGGGGGAGAAAGCUCUCCAGAAGCUGCACACAAAGCCCACGUCUAGGGUGAAACAACAGCCACAGGCUCCGCUUUUCUGAAAUGUGUUUCACGUUAACACAACCUUAAAGAACACGGCUGUAACGUGAAACCAAGAAGCUCCUUCUCUAUGUCUUUUUUCCUUCCUCUGUGGGUUGCCUUUUAAUAAAAGCCUUUUGCUACUUUCAGUGAAUCA